CGCAUCUGUGCAUGCAGCAUAUCAAUAAGCGGAGGAAAAGAAACUAACAAGGAUUCCCCUAGUAACGGCGAGUGAAGCGGGAAGAGCUCAAAUUUGAAAUCUUAAAGGGUUUCCCUUUACGAAUUGUAGUUUAAAGAAGUGUUUUCUGUUGAGGUUUUGGUAAAAGUUCUUUGGAAUAGGACAUCAUAGAGGGUGAGAAUCCCGUAUUUGACCUUUACUUUCAACUUUGUGAUACACUUUCAAAGAGUCGGAUUGUUUGGGAAUGCAGUCCAAAAUGAGUGGUAAAUUUCAUCUAAAGCUAAAUAUUGGCGAGAGACCGAUAGCGAACAAGUACCGUGAGGGAAAGAUGAAAAGAACUUUGAAAAGAGAGUUAAACAGUACGUGAAAUUGUCAAAAGGGAAGCGUUUGACACCAGUGUUGUUUUUCUGAAAAUCAAUUAAAGAACUGUUUAUGCUAAGCUGUUUAGACUUUAUCAGCUAACUGUUUAGUUUUGAGCUUUUCUUUAAUGCACUUUUCAGUUAACAAGUCAACAUCAAUUUCUUUUGCUGUAGAAAAGCUUGAGGAAGGUGGCUUGAGAUUCGUCUUAAGUGUUUAUAGCCUCUUGCCUAUGCAGUCGGAGAGAUUGAGGUCUGCAGCGUAGAUCCUUCGGGGCUAAAUGCAUUUGUGCUAAGUUAUAGCAUUUUAUAGACAACUUGUUGACUAUGAUUUGUCUUGUAGCUUACUCGCUUAUGUUAUUUUACCUACGCUUAGGAUGUUGAGUCAUCACACAUCUCU
rnacentral:rRNA from 1 species